CUACGUGCCAGCAGCCGCGGUAAUACGGAAGGUCCAGGCGUUAUCCGGAUUUAUUGGGUUUAAAGGGAGCGUAGGCGGAUUAUUAAGUCAGUGGUGAAAGACGGUGGCUCAACCAUCGUUAGCCAUUGAAACUGGUAGUCUUGAGUGCAGACAGGGAUGCUGGAACUCGUGGUGUAGCGGUGAAAUGCUUAGAUAUCACGAUGAACUCCGAUCGCGAAGGCAGGUGUCCGGGCUGCAACUGACGCUGAAGCACGAAAGCGUGGGUAUCAAACAGGAUUAGAUACCCUGGUAGUCCACGCAGUAAACGAUGAUAACUGGGCGUAUGCGAUAUACAGUAUGCUCCUAAGCGAAAGCGUUAAGUUAUCCACCUGGGGAGUACGCCGGCAACGGUGAAACUCAAAGGAAUUGACGGGGGCCCGCACAAGCGGAGGAACAUGUGGUUUAAUUCGAUGAUACGCGAGGAACCUUACCCGGGAUUGAA
rnacentral:rRNA from 1 species